rnacentral:misc_RNA from 1 species
AAGACAGAAUGCUAAGGGCCAUAACUGAAGCUCUUACUAGUAUGAAAGUGUUGAAGUUAUACGCGUGGGAGAAGCAUUUUAAGAAUGCAAUUGAAAAGCUAAGAGAAGACGAAUACCGAUGGCUAUCAGCAGUGCAGAUGCAGAAAGGCUAUUACCUGGUUUUGUUUUGGUCAACGCCAAUUAUAGUAUCUGCGGUUACUUUCUGUUCUUGCUACUUACUCAAAGUCCCUCUUAAUACCACUAAUGUCUUCACAUUCCUUGCCACUUUACGCAUUGUCCAGGAACCUGUUAGGUCAGUUCCUG